CGAGAACCCCAAGCGUUAUCCGGAAUCAUUGGGCGUAAAGGGUGUGUAGGCGGUUCGGUUAGUCUUCUGUUAAAACCUCGGGCUUAACCCGAGGCUUGCAGUGGAAACGGCCGGACUAGAGAGUGCGAGAGGUGAAUGGAACUCAUGGAGUAGGGGUGAAAUCCGUUGAUAUCAUGGGGAACACCGAAAGCGAAGGCAAUUCACUGGCGCAUUUCUGACGCUGAGACACGAAAGCGUGGGUAGCGAACGGGAUUAGAUACCCCGGUAGUCCACGCCCUAAACGAUGAUAACUGGCUUUGGGAGGAAUCGACCCUUCCGAGGCGAAGCAAACGCGUUAAGUUAUCCGCCUGGGUAGUACGGCCGCAAGGCUA
rnacentral:rRNA from 1 species